AGUGAACGCUGGCGGUAGGCCUAACACAUGCAAGUCGAACGGCAGCACAGUAAGAGCUUGCUCGUACGGGUGGCGAGUGGCGGACGGGUGAGGAAUACAUCGGAAUCUACUUUUUCGUGGGGGAUAACGUAGGGAAACUUACGCUAAUACCGCAUACGACCUACGGGUGAAAGCAGUGGAUCUUCGGACCUUGCGCGAUUGAAUGAGCCGAUGUCGGAUUAGCUAGUUGGCGGGGUAAAGGCCCACCAAGGCGACGAUCCGUAGCUGGUCUGAGAGGAUGAACAGCCACACUGGAACUGAGACACGGUCCAGACUCCUACGGGAGGCCGCAGUGGGGAAUAUUGGACAAUGGGCGCAAGCCUGAUCCAGCCAUACCGCGUGGGUGAAGAAGGCCUUCGGGUUGUAAAGCCCUUUUGUUGGGAAAGAAAAGCAGCAGGUUAAUACCCCGCUGUUCUGACGGUACCCAAAGAAUAAGCACCGGCUAACUUCGUG
rnacentral:rRNA from 1 species